GAGAAAUCAGGAUGGUGGUUGAUGGGAAGGAGCUACCAGGAGGGCCUCUGGGGACAAGAAAUGCUCUGAUCUGGAUGUCAAAUACAUUGAUGAUGGCUCCUGCUGCGGCUCUGGCCCUCCAGGCUCCUUUAUAAAGACCGACAAUUACAUGGGGCCCCCCAGGCUUCUCAGGAGCGGGGACCAGGUGUCACGUCUGUGUUCCCUGAUUGUUGGUGUCCAGUACUGAAGAAUGGCUACCGGUACCGAGUCAAUGGAGCAAAUGAGCAGACCAACCAGAUGCGAGCAAAGUGCCAGCGUUUAUUAAAGCACAGCUAGUCAUGUGAAACAGUGGGAGUAGAGAAGGAACAAGACACCCAUACCGGUUGUGAUCAAUGAGUUGUAAACACCACUGUGUCCAGUAUCCUUACAAAAGCCACAGAGAGAAGUGAAGGCGAUCAUCUGAAGACAGAGGCAGAGAUUGGAGUGAUGCAGCCACAAGCCAAGGGACUCCUGUUGCCGCCAGAAGCUGGGAGGGCAAGGAAAGCGCUCUCCCCUGAAGCCCUCAGGGGCACGUGGUCCUGCCAACACCAAGAAUUUAGCCCAGGAACACCCAUGUUGCACGUGUGUCCUCCAGACUGCGAAAGAAUAAUCUCUGUUGUGUCAAGCCCCUGAGUUUGAGGUAAUUUGUUAGGGAAGCUGUAGGAAACUAAUACAGCUACUCACUGGUUA